rnacentral:lncRNA from 1 species
UUGUGAGCAAUUAGACCGAUUAUUAUUAUUUUUUUAAUCCAAAACACAAUGAAACCCCAACGGCCUCUUAUCCUCUCUCUCCUCUUCGCAGCCACUCUCUUCUACCUCCGCCCUGUUUCCGCCGAUGAAGAUACCCCAAACUCCCCCAACGCCACCGCCAAUUGUAUGGAGUUCAUCCGCACUAGCUGCGGCAUUACUCUCUAUCCCGACGUCUGCUACACUUCGCUUUCUCGUUACGCCAACGACAUUCAGCAGGACCCUGCCUCCCUCACUCGCAUCGCCAUUACCAUCAGCCUCGCCAACUCCCGUAGAAUGGCCGCUUACGUCUCCAAUUUAUCUCAC